GCUUAUUUCCUGCUGACCUAGGGAAUAAUACUUAAGGAGCUAUGAGCAGGUCAAGAGAGUAUUCUCCCAUCACAGAGCAUCAGCUACUAGUUUCCGUACAGCUGCAAGUGGUGUGAUCAGGAGCUUUCCAAUAAUCAAUAGAGUUUGAGAGAAACAAUCAAUAGUCGGGUUGUGGGUCUUGGAUAUCUACAAAUUCAACACACAAGCAAGAAUGUUGGCAUUUGAAUAAUAAAGAGAAAGGAAGAAGCAUAGAUUACUGUAACAUGCGCUACAUGGGAUUGCCUUUGAAGACUGUUUGGAAGCUCCAGAUGGUCCAACGGGCAGCAGCCAGGUUGCUCACCAAAGGGAGCAUAUAAUUCCCCAUUACAUCAACUCCACUGGCUGCCAGUCUGCUA